GAGCGAGAACCAGGGCUUCGGCCCUGGGGACAGCGGCGAACGGGUGAGUAACACGUGGGUAAUCCACCCUCGGCACCGGAAUAGCCCGGGGAAACCCGGAUUAAUGCCGGAUGGCCCGCCGGCCCCGCGGGGCUGGCGGAAAAGGUAGCUUCGGCCUCCGGCCGAGGACGAGCCCGCGACGGAUUAGCUUGUUGGUGGGGUAACGGCCUACCAAGGCUGCGAUCCGUAGCUGGUCUGAGAGGACGAUCAGCCACACUGGGACUGAGACACGGCCCAGACUCCUACGGGAGGCAGCAGUGGGGAAUCUUGCGCAAUGGGCGAAAGCCUGACGCAGCGACGCCGCGUGGGGGAAGAAGGCCUUCGGGUUGUAAACCUCUUUCAGGGGGGACGAAGCCACUCGGGUUAACAGCCCAGAGGGUGACGGUACCUCCAGAAGAAGCCCCGGCUAACUACGUGCCAGCAGCCGCGGUAAUACGUAGGGGGCAAGCGUUGUCCGGAUUUAUUGGGCGUAAAGAGCGUGUAGGCGGCCAGGUAGGUCUGCUGUGAAAACUCGAGGCUUAACCUCGAGCUGUCGGCGGAAACCAUCUGGCUAGAGUCCGGAAGAGGAGAAUGGAAUUCCCGGUGUAGCGGUGAAAUGCGCAGAUAUCGGGAAGAACACCCGUGGCGAAGGCGGUUCUCUGGGACGGUACUGACGCUGAGACGCGAAAGCGUGGGGAGCGAACAGGAUUAGAUACCCUGGUAGUCCACGCCGUAAACGAUGAGUGCUAGGUG
rnacentral:rRNA from 1 species